rnacentral:rRNA from 1 species
AUUGAACGCUGGCGGCAUGCCUAACACAUGCAAGUCGAACGGCAGCACGGCAGUAGCAAUACUGUGGGUGGCGAGUGGCGGACGGGUGAGGAAUACGUCGGAAUCUGCCCAGUCGUGGGGGAUAACUAGCCGAAAGGUUAGCUAAUACCGCAUACGACCGAGAGGUGAAAGCGGGGGACCGCAAGGCCUCGCGCGAUUGGAUGAGCCGACGUCGGAUUAGCUAGUUGGUGGGGUAAAGGCCCACCAAGGCGACGAUCCGUAGCUGGUCUGAGAGGAUGAUCAGCCACACUGGAACUGAGACACGGUCCAGACUCCUACGGGAGGCAGCAGUGGGGAAUAUUGGACAAUGGGCGCAAGCCUGAUCCAGCAAUGCCGCGUGUGUGAAGAAGGCCUCGGUU